CAUUUCAUGGUCAAUUACUGGUCUCAAAGCUUAAACCACACAAGAGUAGUUCAUGGUUCAGUGCAGCGGGGCUAAGCAAUACUGAUAACUGUAGAGAUAAUUCGGGCACCUGAAACUACAAUUAUAAGCUAAACCCAGGAGUCAGAUAUGACCUCGUUCAGUGUUGGCCUGUGUUUCUCAUCGACAUCGUCCCUGUGGCCGUUUGUUACUAGUACUCUCUCAGUCAGAUGCAUCGCACGUUCCGGUUGAAGUCAUACGGUCAGCCAUCGCUUUGAUCGCGUCGCAAACAUUAAACUGAGAGAAACUUGUUGAAGACGUUGCAAUAGCCGCCUCCUGCUAUUCGUGAACAUUUGCAGGUCAAGGUGGGUAGCGUCACACUUUUAGAUUUUGGUGACCUUGGAUAACUAUUAGUACAUUCGCACAGGCUGGAAUAUACUAAUCCUCGAGUAAUGGGUUCUCUACGAGUCCGUUAUAUCAUCUGUCGACGGCUUAGUAAGCACUGAUCGUAACUAGGAGUUAGUGCUCUAUUCUGGAGAGUAAGAAUGCAAAACGGUUACUACAUUUAAGGAUCUCAGCAAGGGUGCAAAUUAUCCACUUUUCGCACUGAGAAGUAGAGACAAGAAGUAAUCAGUCGGGACUCUGCCGUGGCUCCGCGAUCGGAAUGACUAUAUAUUAAAUCCAUUAGCUAAUAUCGAUUUGAAGGUAGUUCUGGUGCCAGCAGUCACAAAAAUUCCAGCUCUAGAAGUAUCUAUUGAAUUUGUUGCGUUUGAAAACUUUGUAGUCAGGAUUUGAGUUUCGAAAUGUGUCGCAGUACGUCCGAAGCGACGAUGCUCAUGUAGGCACACUUCUAAUGAAACCCUUCUGUAGGUACAUUCUUGAAAUGAGUUCCAUUGUGUAUGAAAAUACAAAAUUAAUGAGAAUGAUAUUGCAGUGAAAAUAGCCCGACAAAUGUUACUUGCGGGCAUUUUGCUCUCAAAAAGUUAGAAAAAUAUGAAGUGACGAAUAGCAGCAGAACCAAGGAGAAAAUCAACAGACCCCAGUGACCUGUCUAAUUUUCAGGAUUAAAA
rnacentral:ncRNA from 1 species